rnacentral:rRNA from 1 species
AUGGCUCAGGAUGAACGCUAGCUACAGGCUUAACACAUGCAAGUCGAGGGGCAGCAUUGGGAUAGCUUGCUAUUCAGAUGGCGACCGGCGCACGGGUGAGUAACGCGUAUCCAACCUUCCUGCCAGUAGGGAACAGCCCGGCGAAAGUCGGAUUAAUGCCCUAUGUUCUUCAAUGCGGACAUCUAAGUUGAAGGAAAGAUUCAUCGCUGGCAGAUGGGGAUGCGUCCGAUUAGCUUGCCGGCGGGGUAACGGCCCACCGGGCGACGAUCGGUAGGGGUUCGUGAGAGGAAGGUCCCCACACUGGUACUGAGACACGGACCAGACUCCUACGGGAGGCAGCAGUGAGGAAUAUUGGUCAAUGGGCGUAAGCCUGAACCAGCCAAGUAGCGUGCAGGAAUGACGGCCCUACGGGUUGUAAACUGCUUUUAUGCGGGGAUAAAGUGCGGCACGUGUGCCGCUUUGCAGGUACCGCAUGAAUAAGGACCGGCUAAUUCCGUGCCAGCCGCUGC